rnacentral:rRNA from 1 species
CGGCGCACGGGUGCGUAACACGUAUGCAACCUACCUUUUACUGGGGUAUAGCUCAGAGAAAUCUGAAUUAAUCCCCCAUAAUGUUAUUGAGUGGCAUCAUUUGAUAACUAAAGCUGAGGCGGUAAAAGAUGGGCAUGCGUUGUAUUAGCUAGUUGGUGAGGUAAUGGCUCACCAAGGCUACGAUACAUAGGGGUUCUGAGAGGAUGAUCCCCCACACUGGUACUGAGACACGGACCAGACUCCUACGGGAGGCAGCAGUAGGGAAUAUUGGUCAAUGGACGCAAGUCUGAACCAGCCAUGCCGCGUGCAGGAAGACGGCCCUCUGGGUUGUAAACUGCUUUUAUAUGGGAAGAAACCCCGGGAUGCGUUCCGGGCUGACGGUACCAUAUGAAUAAGGAUCGGCUAACUUCGUGCCAGCAGCCGCGGUAAGACGAAGGAUCCAAGCGUUGUCCGGAUUUACUGGGUUUAAAGGGUGCGUAGGCGGAAAAUUAAGUCAGUGGUGAAAGCCCGCAGCUCAACUGCGGAACUGCCAAUGAAACUGAUUUUCUUGAAUACGGUUGAGGUAGAUGGAAUAUAACAUGUAGCGGUGAAAUGCUUAGAUAUGUUAUAGAACACCAAUUGCGAAGGCAGUCUACUAAGCCGUCAUUGACGCUGAGGCACGAAAGCGUGGGGAGCGAACAGGAUUAGAUACCCUGGUAGUCCACGCCGUAAACGUUGAUUACUCGCUGUUGGCAAUACACUGUCAGCGGCUAAGCGAAAGCGUUAAGUAAU